GGUUGUCCCUGAAGGAAUUCCCUCCCCGGGGCGAUGCCGCUGGUAGGAUGGGAACCCUCGCAGCCUUCCUCCUCUUGAAGGGUGCCACGCCAUCAGAGUCCUCAUCAUCGGAUAUGAUCUCCAAAACCCGUUUUCCUUUGUCAAGGGGGGUUGGAGCCGGUGACGAAGCCACAGCCAGGGGAACGGCGGCGAUGGGCAAAGGAGAGUCGGGUGUUUGAAGCGCCUGGGG
rnacentral:lncRNA from 1 species